UACUAGCCAAGUUGAUUUGCAUUUUCUGAAAAAGAAAAAAAAGAAUUGAUCGAUUCCUGUAGUGUAGCUAGCCUCGAAGUAGAGAGCAAGAGACAGAACACGUCCACGCCCGCGAUGACGACGAAGCUUGUCGCAGCCAUGCUGUUGGUUCUCAUGGUCACUUCGGGCUCAGCCAUCGGCUGUGCCGCGGCGCGGGCGUUGCCGGGAGAACAGCCGGCCUCCCCAGGUGGCUCCACCAACAAUGCGUCGCCGCCGCCGCCGCCGCCGCCGAAGGUGGAGGAGAGCAAAUCAGGACCACAUGUUUCGUGCCCAACUCAUGAUCGAAACACCAACUGUCCGCCUUCCGCUCCGUAGAGAUGGAACAGGAAUCUGUCGGCGGCUUUGUUACACAACAGUAUACAACACACGUAGAGUGAUGACACAGAGCUCGGUUUCUACGUUAUUGCACCGGUCGGAUUAUAUUCGAGUUUUAGUUUCAGUUUAAUUUGUUGUUUGUUUUCUAUUGCUGCUACAUAUAUAGCCGGCGAUCCUGUUUGCGUCUAUAGAAAAAUAGAAUAAUCUGUACAGAGUUACUGCUCAAAAUUGCUUACGUUGCUAGUACUUGCUAUAGGUACGAGGUGCUGUAGAUGCUUAUAGGUUAUAGCCUAGUACGAGGCACUGCCGCACUGUAAAAGGCCUCUGGCUGAAUAAUGAAUCAUAUAUAUACCUAGUUAUAUUAUGUCACUGUCCCUGGAUUUGCUGGAACCAAUA
rnacentral:lncRNA from 1 species